ACAACUAAAAGAGUAACUUGACAAUCUGAUCAAUUGUCAACGCCUUCCCGUCACGACCUCCCAGACGUACCCUUCACCUGCAUGCUCGAUAAGACGUAACCUGCCGACCACCGGCCCGUAUAUACAUCUGCAGACCGACCUAAUGAACUCUAAGCUGUAACUAACUAAGUAUCUCUGACCUCCGUCAUUCACCACCUUGACGGCUUUCAAUAUAAGUGCUAUUGAAAAAUAAUCAAUGAGAGAUGGUGUUGACAAUCCAAGUUUAUCCAGAUAGAAAAGUGAAAGAACUUGAAGAUGUCUUUAAAUUACUAGGAAAUGGGACUUCAAUGCUUAAGGUCCAGACAUCUGUACAGUUGGAGAACAGUCUGCAUUAAAUGCAGAAGUUCCUGAAGGAUCUUUCCCUGACAUGCAAAUCUCCAUAUAGGCUCCUCAAAUCAUGAGUCACUGGCACCUGUUCUGAGAUUAUCUGAACAAUGAAGGACACAUGCCUUCAUUGAGUGUAACAUCAGAAUUCCCAGCUGGAUCCUGCAGCCAACCUACAGGAAAUCAGGACCAAUAUUAUGAGAUGCUUAGGACUUUCAAGGUCUGAGGCUCCACAAAAGAAGCAGCCAUUAUGAAAUUAGGCUUUUCUUCCUCAAAGAUGACUGCAAUCUUGGGGUGUUUUUCUUUUAUAUCGUCAUUUCAUUAAAGUCGCUUGUAAAUAACGUUUAGGGAUGGUCUCUUUAGUUUCCAUUCCCUGAAAUAAAUAUCUACAUAUUCCAUUACACCACUGGUGCUCAACCAAUCCAGCCCUGUAGGCUGAACAAGUGGCAUUGGGCCAGUCCGUGUGCCAGAUCCAGUGAAAGAUCAAUCCACAAGCACAAUCUGGCCAUAGUGUGACCUUUAGACCACAGAGCUCCCCACAAGUCUCAAUAUUUGGUGUUGGGGACACAGUGACAGUAUUAAUUACCACAGCUCUAGGAGCAAUUAAUGCUGCUACGGCUCCUUGCCACCAAUUUUUCAGACCUGCAGGGAACCUAUAGCCAGGAUGAUACAGUGUCGCAGGUCAGAUCCAGUCCAUAGGAUGGAUACCACUGAAUUACACCAUACACUUUCAUACUCAUUUAAAAAGUGUCCUUAUUUCACAGCAAUGGAGACUUCUAAGUCCUUUUCAAAUCAUAGAUCCAUCCGUAGAGACCAGUCUUCAGAAGGAGCUCCAGCUUUUAGUUAAGCAGGAAAGGGAGGACGAGUCAGCUGUAUUACAGAAAAUACAGAAAAAUUUCUGUAUUUCAGCUGUAUUACUGUAUUUUCUGCGUACAGAAAAUACAGUAAUUGCCACCACAUUUUACUAUUGAGAAUGAAAAAGACAGUGAUCUACUAUAUUUACUCAAAUCCAAGUUGACCCUUAAUUUAAGAAGACCCCCCAUUAAUUAGGUUCUAUAUGUGGAAAAUGUAUAAAUUUGUUAUAAUUUUCCAGGUAUAGAAUCUAAUUAUUGGAGAGUUGUCACCUUCCCCACAUUGCUACAGAAGGAAAAGCAGUGGCUAGUGGGGGUGAAAUGACCCCCUUGCCCUCUGGGCCCCACCCCACUUCUCCUUUCAGUCUUCUGCCGCCCCCCCCGGCACGCCCCCACUCCCAGCUCCCCAUAAUCUCUGCCCCUCCCCUGCCCUUCCCCACAAUCCCUGCCCC